AGGUGCAGGUCUGCAGCUGGAUACAUCUGUGACAAGGGGCGUAAAGGGGAGAAAAAGAAACCAUUCUGCGCAGCGUUCUUGAUGCUCAGACCAUCGUAAUAUUAUUGCACCUUUGUUGCCAAGUCAACAUUGGUCAUUAUAUUGAGCUCAUAACAUACUGCCAUGUCCAGGUUGUGAUGAGCAUCUGAUUGUCUUCAACAUAAAAGUGCAGUAAUGUCAGUGGAACAAGAAAAGAACUCUCUGGCUGAGACUCCAAGUCUCCAGGAGGAACAGAGUGAAAAAUCCGGUUUAAAGGUUUCCAGAUGUGAGUCUGUAAAGAGUGAUCAUUUGAAAGAUGAUGUACUACUUAUCAAAAAGGACACACCUACCAAAAGUGUAUCCUUCAAUGAGGAAACAUCAUCG